CCUACGGGAGGCAGCAGUGAGGAAUAUUGGUCAAUGGCCGAGAGGCUGAACCAGCCAAGUCGCGUGAGGGAAGAAUGUCCUAUGGAUUGUAAACCUCUUUUGUCAGGGAGCAAAGUCACCCACGUGUGGGUGUUGGAGAGUACCUGAAGAAAAAGCAUCGGCUAACUCCGUGCCAGCAGCCGCGGUAAUACGGAGGAUGCGAGCGUUAUCCGGAUUUAUUGGGUUUAAAGGGUGCGCAGGCGGAAGCGGCAAGUCAGCGGUAAAAUUGCGGGGCUCAACCUCGCCGAGCCGUUGAAACUGCACUUCUAGAGUGGGCGAGAAGUAUGCGGAAUGCGUGGUGUAGCGGUGAAAUGCAUAGAUAUCACGCAGAACUCCGAUUGCGACGGCAGCAUACCGGCGCCCAACUGACGCUCAUGCACGAAAGCGUGGGUAUCGAACAGGAUUAGAUACCCGAGUAGUC
rnacentral:rRNA from 1 species